AAACCAGCACCUCAAGUGGUCAGGAUGAUUAUUGGGCCUAAAGCAUCCGUAGCCGGCUCUGUAAGUUUUCGGUUAAAUCUGUACGCUCAACGUACAGGCUGCCGGGAAUACUGCAGAGCUAGGGAGUGGGAGAGGUAGACGGUACUCGGGAGGAAGGGGUAAAAUCCUUUGAUCUUUCGAUGACCACCUGUGGCGAAGGCGGUCUACCAGAACAUGUCCGACGGUGAGGGAUGAAAGCUGGGGGAGCAAACCGGAUUAGAAACCCCGGUAGUCC
rnacentral:rRNA from 1 species